rnacentral:lncRNA from 1 species
AGCUAGCAAUUGUGCAUAAUCUUAGUGUACAAGGAAAAAAAAUGUAAAAAAAAAAAACUAGGAUAUGAAAUAUACUUCCAAAUCACGCGAAACCCCUUUUUACUUCAAAUAACUAAAUACGUACUUUAAUAUAAUUUUAUGACGAAGACUAGCGUGUCCACUUUUACAAGUGAUUUGUUGUGGACCACGUUUAUAGACCAUAGGAUUCAUCUCACCCACACAAGACCAUAGGAUACACCCUCUGCACUAGAUUAUUUCUUCUUCUUUCUCUAUCUGACCCUCUUCAUUUCUUCUUUCUCUCUCCAACCACCCUCCCCCGUCUUCUCCGCCGCCACAAAAUAAUUCGCCGCCGGUCAUUGUUGUCGGAGGUAACUUCCGGCGAUAGAGCGAAAACACCUUCCCUCCUUCUUAUUUUUUUUCUCCUUCUCAAACAACAAAGCGCGAUCAUAGAAUUCAAAAUCGAAAGAAUCAAAUUAUUGAAAUUAAAACAACCGUUAUCACAAUCAACAUCGGCGAUAAGAAUGAAUCAAAAUUUGAAAGCAAAAAGAAAUUGAAAAGCUAAAAUAAAUAACAACAACGAUGAGAUUGAGGAAAAGAGGAUCAUCGGGGGAGAAUUUGAGAGGUGCGAUGCUCUAUGACGAAUCGUCCGCUGCAAGGACCUUCGUCGGCGUCACCGUCAACCACCAUGGGUUUGAACGGUGUUCUUCUUGGAAACAGACCUGCGUUGGCGGCUCGCGUGGCUAGUGGAGCAGAUCUGGUGGUGCGGUGUGUUCAGUUCUGGUAGAUAUCGGUGGCGGAUCUUGGUGGUGGUACGGUGGUUUCGACUGAUCUUUGUGGUGGAUUGAAGAGCUCGCGGCGGCUACUUCGUCGGCGCUGAAGAGAUCACCGGUGACGGCAGCGCAUGUCGGAGAGUGGUCGUGGAAGACACCGGGAGGGAGAGUACGGAGAAGAAGGAAGGAAGACCGAGUUUUGAUGUGAGAAGGUGCACAAUAAAAUUGUACACCAAAAUUAAUCUGAAGGCUGAUAAUAGUGGUCCACCAAAGAUCACUUAUAUUCAUGAUCCACCGUAACGUCGUCUAAUUUUAUAUCUAUUAGUUGGUUUUUAACUUUUAACUAACAUAUGAGUUAUUU